CAGUCGCCACGGUAAUACGAAGGGUGCAAGCGUUACUCGGAAUUACUGGGCGUAAAGCGUGUGUAGGUGGUUGUUUAAGUCUGUCGUGAAAGCCCUGGGCUCAACCUGGGAAUUGCGAUGGAUACUGGGCGACUAGAGUGCGGUAGAGGAUAGUGGAAUUUCCGGUGUAGCAGUGAAAUGCGUAGAGAUCGGGAGGAACAUCAGUGGCGAAGGCGGCCAUCUGGGACAACACUGACGCUGAGGCACGAAAGCGUGGGGAGCAAACAGGAUUAGAUACCCCAGUAGUCCCUGUCUCUUAUAC
rnacentral:rRNA from 1 species